GUGGACGCCAGUCUGCGUGGAGCCGACCUUGAAAUACCACCCUUUAAUGUUUGAUGUUCUAACGUGGACCCGUUACCCGGGUUGCGGACAGUGUCUGGUGGGUAGUUUGACUGGGGCGGUCUCCUCCUAAAGAGUAACGGAGGAGCACGAAGGUUGGCUAAUCCUGGUCGGACAUCAGGAGGUUAGUGCAAUGGCAUAAGCCAGCUUGACUGCGAGCGUGACGGCGCGAGCAGGUGCGAAAGCAGGUCAUAGUGAUCCGGUGGUUCUGAAUGGAAGGGCCAUCGCUCAACGGAUAAAAGGUACUCCGGGGAUAACAGGCUGAUACCGCCCAAGAGUUCAUAUCGACGGCGGUGUUUGGCACCUCGAUGUCGGCUCAUCACAUCCUGGGGCUGAAGUAGGUCCCAAGGGUAUGGCUGUUCGCCAUUUAAAGUGGUACGCGAGCUGGGUUUAGAACGUCGUGAGACAGUUCGGUCCCUAUCUGCCGUGGGCGCUGGAGAACUGAGGGGGGCUGCUCCUAGUACGAGAGGACCGGAGUGGACGCAUCACUGGUGUUCGGGUUGUCAUGCCAAUGGCACUGCCCGGUAGCUAAAUGCGGAAGAGAUAAGUGCUGAAAGCAUCUAAGCACGAAACUUGCCCCGAG
rnacentral:rRNA from 4 species